UGUGACGUUACCGAACUGUUGCCUCGGCGGGGUCACGCCCCGGGUGCGUCGCAGCCCCGGAACCAGGCGCCCGCCGGAGGAACCAACCAAACUCUUUCUGUAUUCCCCUCGCGGACGUAUUUCUUACUGCUCUGAUCAAAAAUUCAAAAUGAAUCAAAACUUUCAACAACGGAUCUCUUGGUUCUGGCAUCAAUGAAGAACGCAACGAAAUGCGAUAAGGAAUGUGAAUUGCAUAAUUCAAUGAAUCAUCCAAUCUUUGAACGCACAUUGCGCCCGCCAGUAUUCUGGCGGGCAUGCCUGUCCGAGCGUCAUUUCAACCCUCGAACCCCUCCGGGGGAUCGGCGUUGGGGAUCGGGACCCCUCACACGGGUGCCGGCCCCGAAAUACAGUGGCGGUCUCGCCGCAGCCUCUCCUGCGCAUUAGUUUGCACAACUCGCACCGGGAGCGCGGCGCGUCCACGUCCGUAAACACCCAACUUUCUGAAAUGUUGACCUCGGAUCAGGUAGGAAUACCCGCUGAACUUAAGCAUAUCAAUAAGCGGAGGA
rnacentral:rRNA from 1 species